rnacentral:misc_RNA from 1 species
UUAAGAGGUCAGCAUGAAUGCAUGAAUGUGUUUAAAAAAAUAUCUUUUUCUUUUGAGUCCAAUUUAAAUUUAAAAAGCUUUUAGGGAUUUUAAAAACUAAAGUACAUACAAAUAAUAAUUUAAUUUUUGUUGUUGUUUAUAACCUGACUUGUUAUAAAUAACCGGACUUGUUAUAACUCAAAGGUUAACUACACUCCGAGUUCCUAGAGUCUAGAGCCUUCCUUUUUUCCUUUGGUUAGUGGCAUAGCGUGGAUGGAGUACUGAAUAUAAAUACGGACAAUGGACGGUAAAUUUGAAAUUAAAGAUUUUGGGGAUUAUGAACACAGAUAUGUGGACACUCAGCUCUCCCCAUCCAUAGAUCUUGAAGACUAUAAAAACGAACCCCAAGCAGCAAAAUACUCAGUAAUGGACGGUAAACUUGAAACUAAAGAAGAAUUUGAGGAACAGAAACACAGAUGUAUGGAGAAUCAACUAUCCACCUCAAUAGAACUUGAAGAUUGUAAAAACGAAGCUGAAGAAACAAAUAACUCAGUUAUGGAAGGUAAACUUGAAAUUAAAGAAGAAUUUGAGGAACAUGAACACAUAUGUAUGGAGAGUCAGCUAUGCAGCACAGGAGAUCUUGAUAACUGUAAAAAUGAACCGGAAGAAACAAAUUACUCAGUUGUGGAAGGUAAACUUGAAAUUAAAGAAGAAUUUGAGGAACAUGAACACAUAUGUAUGGAGAGUCAGCUAUCCAGCUCAGUAGAUCUUGAUGACUGUAAAAAUGAACCGGACGAAACAAAUUACUCAGGAUUUUCCCAAAACGAAGAUACAUUGGAAAUAAUGAAAUCAUUAUCUGGGCAUUUAUGUAGUAAAGAACAACUUAUGAGUCGACCUACUGAAAAAAAAACAAUGAAGUGUGAAAUGUGUGUUAAGCGUUUUUCUUGCAAAGAUCAUUUGAACAAAUGUAUAAGAACGAAUACUGGUCAAACUUUAAAAUGCAAAGUUUGUUUUAAACAGUUUUCACACAUAAGUACUUUGAAAACUCAUUCAAGAACGCCACAUUCAGAACGUAGGACUAUGCCACCACCAUCAAAACUUACGCUCAGUAUGAGGUUACAACUGACAUACUGUUCGAAAAAUCUUCUGUAGACGAAGUUUUGUAAAUCUUGCUUCCAUAUGAUCAAUGCUAUGCCAGAUGUAACCUCAUACAGAAUGUUAAUUUUGGUGGUGGCCUCAUAGUGCUAUGGAGUGGUAUUUUUUUGGAAAAGACAUACCGAACUUGUGGAGGUGAUCGGGUGAAUGACAGCUGAUAUGUACAUUAAAAACAUUUUAGAAGAUCAUGUUUUGCCAUUUGCCAGCUACAUUGGAUAACAAAUUCGUGUUAAUGCACCAUGAGGCAGGUCUUCAUCUCGGUAGAAUAGAUUUUCCCAAAACGAAGAUACAUUGGAAAUAAUGAAGUCAUUAUCUGGGCAUUUAUGUAGUAAAGAACAACUUAUGAGUCGACCUACUGAAGAAAAAACAAUGAAGUGUGAAAUGUGUGUUAAGCGUUUUUCUUGCAAAG